UCCCUGGUGGUCCAGUGGUUAAGACUCUGCACUUCCAAUGCAGGGAACAUGGGUGUUGAUCCCUGUUUGGGGAA
rnacentral:tRNA from 1 species